CCUACGGGUGACAGCAGUGAGGAAUAUUGGUCAAUGGACGAGAGUCUGAACCAGCCAAGUAGCGUGAAGGAUGACUGCCCUAUGGGUUGUAAACUUCUUUUAUACGGGAAUAAAACGUUUCACGUGUGGGAUUUUGUAUGUACCAUAUGAAUAAGGAUCGGCUAACUCCGUGCCAGCAGCCGCGGUAAUACGGAGGGUCCGAGCGUUAUCCGGAUUUAUUGGGUUUAAAGGGAGCGUAGGUGGUUUGUUAAGUCAGUUGUGAAAGUCUGCGGCUCAACCAUAACAUUGCAGUGGAAACUGGCAGUCUUGAGUACAGGAGAGGUAUGCGGAAUUCGUGGUGUAGCGGUGAAAUGCUUAGAUAUCACGAAGAACUCCGAUUGCGAAGGCAGUUCACUGGACUGCAACUGACACUGAGGCUCGAAAGUGUGGGUAUCGAACAGGAUUAGAUACCCUAGUAGUC
rnacentral:rRNA from 1 species